GUCCACGCCCUAAACGAUGUCAACUGGUUGUUGGGUGCAUUAGUACUCAGUAACGAAGCUAACGCGUGAAGUUGACCGCCUGGGGAGUACGGCCGCAAGGUUGAAACUCAAAGGAAUUGACGGGACCCGCACAAGCGGUGGAUGAUGUGGUUUAAUUCGACGCAACGCGAAGAACCUUACCAGGUCUUGACAUCCACGGAAGGAAGCUUAAUGGCUUUUGUGCCUCGCAAGAGGAACCGUGAGACAGGUAGUGCAUGGUUGUCGU
rnacentral:rRNA from 1 species